CGCGUAGGCGGUCCAUCAAGUCAGAGGUGAAAGCCCGGGGCUCAACCCCGGAACUGCCUUUGAAACUGGCGGACUAGAAUCUUGGAGAGGCGAGUGGAAUUCCGAGUGUAGAGGUGAAAUUCGUAGAUAUUCGGAAGAACACCAGUGGCGAAGGCGACUCGCUGGACAAGUAUUGACGCUGAGGUGCGAAAGCGUGGGGAGCAAACA
rnacentral:rRNA from 1 species